AGUUAGGGGAGAGAAAGGCCCUUCCUCAUUCUCUGUAAUUUGGACUUUUUCUAGGUUUUUUAAUAGAAAGACAUAUUUUGGAUGACUUUUGUGGCCAAAUUUGGUGUGAUUUGGUCCAGUGGUUUUGUUGUUUACUCCAUAGUAAAAUGAACAUUACAUUUUUACAUCUAUAUAGACUAGCUGUGCCCGGCCACGCGUUGCUGUGGCAUUGUCUGGUGGUGUUGGUGAGAACUUGUUGACGUAGUGGUAGUAUUGAAUGUUUGUUGUAUAGUUGUCUUUAUGUUUAGUAUGCAUUUGGUUGUUUGUGUACUGUGAAAGUGGUGAGGGUAGAGGGGGUCUAUGUCCCUGUGUAGUAUUAUAUAGUAUUUGUACGUUGUCCAUGUGUUGUGAAUGCUUGGAUUGUGUCCUGCUGCAUAGUAGAAAGGGUUGGGCUGGAUGGCCUUUAGGGGUCUCUCCAAACUCUUGGAUUCUAUGCUUCUAUUAUUAUUAUUAUUAUCAUCAUCAUCAUCAUCAUCAUCAUCAUCUUCAUCAUCUUCAUCAUCAUUAUUAUGUAGAGGCUGGAUGGCCAUCUGUCAGGAGUGCUUGGAUUGUGUCCUCCUGCAUGGUAGAAGGAAGUUGAUCUGGAUGAUCCAUAGAGGUCACUCCAAACCUUAGGAUUGUAUGAUGUUGUUGUUGUUGUUGUUAUUAUUAUUAGUAGUAUUAGUAUUGAGAGGUUGGGUGGCCAUCUGUUGGGAGUGCUUGGAUUGAGUCCUGCAUGGCAGAAUUGGAUUGGGCUGGAUGGCCUUUAGGGGUGUCUCCUAACUGUCUGAUGCUAUGAUUUGAUGUGUAUUAUUAUUGUGCAGAUAUUGGAUGGCCAUUUGUCAGGAGUGGUUGGAUUGUGUCCUCCUGCAUGAUAUAAGGAAGUUGAACUGGAUGAUCCUUAGGGGUAUCUGCUAACCUUAGGAUUGUAUGAUAUUCUUCUUCUUCUUCUUCUUCUUCUUCUUCUUCUUAUUAUUAUUAUUAUUAUUAUUAUUAUUAUUAUUAUUAUUAUUAUUAUUGAGAGGCUGGCUGGCCAUCUGUUGGGAGUGCUCGGAUUGUAUCAUCCAAUGGCAGAGUUGGGUUGGACUGGAUAGCCUUUAGGGGUCUCUCCUAACUAUCUGAUUCUAUGUUUCGAUUUGUAUUAUUACUGUGCAGAUCUUGGAUGGCCAUCUGUCAGGAGUGCUUGGUUUGUGUCGUCCUGCAUGGUAGAAGGAAGUUGAACUGGAUGAUCCUUAGGGGUGUCUCCUAACCUUAUGAUUGUAUGAUAUUCUUAUUAUUAUUAUUGAGAGGCUGGGUGGCCAUCUGUUGGGCGUGCUUGGAUUGUGCCCUCCAUGGCAGAAUUGGGUUGGACUGGAUUACCACAGUAAUUAUUUCAUAUUACAGUAGAAUCUCACUUAUCCAGCAUUCGCUUAUCCAGUGUUCUGGAUUAUCCAACGCAGUCUGCCUUUUAGUAGUCAAUGUUUUUGUAGUCAAUGUUUUAAAUUCAUUGUGAUAUUUUGGUGCUAAAUUUCUAAAUACAGUAAUUACAACAUAGCAUUACUGAGCAAUUGAACUACUUUUCUGUCAAAUUUGUUGUAUAACAUGAUGUUUGGUGCUUAAUUUGUAUAAUUAUUUCCUAAUUUGAUGUUUAAUAGUCUUUUACUGAAUCCCUUCUUAUUAUCCAACAUAUUUACUUAUCCAGCGUUCUGCCGGCCUGUUUAUGUUGGAUAAGUGAGACUCUACUGUAUAUUUAUAAUCUUAUAUUUUCUGCUUAGAACUGGAUUAUAUGAGGCCCCUUCUACACAGCUGUAUAAAAUGCACACUGAAGUGAAUUAUCUGGCAGUGUGGACUCAAGAUAAUCCAGUUUAAAGCAGAUAAUAUAAGAUUAUAAAUGGGUAAUAUAGCUGUGUGGAAGGGCCUUAAGUCUACACUGCCAUAUAAUCCAGUUAAAAUAAGAUAAUCUGUAUUUUAUAGGCAGUGUGGAAAAUGCCUGAGGCCUAACUGUGCCUGUCCCUGGGCUGAGUAGGGUGCUAGGAGACCAAGUGGGCAGAGUUUAGCCUUCUAAGUGGCAGCAAUUGGAUAAAAAACAAUUAUUCCUUUCCCUCUAAUUAGGACUUUAUUUUUCUUUUCUUUUUGUUGUAUGAACAUAGAAGCAUGGAUGAGGGGUUGUGUUGCCAAGUUUAGUGUUUCUGGGAUGUGUAGUUUUGUUGUUUUGUCCUAGGUCGAAAUUUUUUUAUCCUUUUAUAUAUAUAGAUAGAUAGCACAUUUUGGGAUUUCUGAAUGUGUUUGUAAUGUGGUUGUAUUCCCUCAGUUUCACCCCAUUUUCCUAGAUGCAUUCCCUAGCCACAUUUUGGUCUCAUACAAUGUUUUCUAUAAGCUUAGAAAAAAAUGCCAAAGCUGUAGAAAUUCUUGUGAAAAGACUCGCCCUUUUUCAUUCCUGCACUUGUUCCUUUCACCUUCUGUCUGGCAAGAGAGGCAAAAACGGGAAGAUCACACUUUCCUUUUGAAGCCAGGAUUCCUCUUCCUUCCAUUGCCACAAGGAUGAGAUCCUUCCAUUCAUGACCAGAGCUCCCUUUGAUAAUCAGAGCCAUGCCACCAAAGACUCCAAAAUGGAUGGAGGUGGCAAAAUUGACAGUAAGUAGUAUGAAUGGUCAUGAAACAAUAUUUAAUUACCCAGCCCUCUAUUAAUGAACAGUACAGAUGUUAUACCACUAGGAGGCAAAGUCCAACCAUGUGAAAUUUGUCUUUAGCUCUGGGUGCUUCCAGGCAGCACAAGAAUGCAGAUUUUAAAUGGAGGACAAAAAAACAAAACAAAACAAACAAACAAAAAAAACCAGGACCUGAGAACAUGUCCUCACACAGAUCUAUGGGUACUGGGAUUUCUUCCCCCACCAUCCUCACAGCCUUCCUCUGUAUCGGAACAAGAUGAAGAGCGGAUGGAGAACAUCCAGCAGAGGGUUUUAAAAUAAAAAUUACUCCAUUAUGUACAUGUACAUGGACUGCACAUGCACACAUGUGAAUAUCAUAAUAUAAAUAUAAGCAGAUUCUCAUGUGUACAUAUGAGGUUCAGCACAUAACUGAGGAAAUAAAAAGAACUUCCACUGGAUUUCUCUCUUCCAAUUGUUUAUUCAAGCUCUGUUUAAUAUUAGAAAAUUUAAAAUAAUGAGUUUCAGAGAGUUCUAAUUGCUCUCCAUUCAUGCAUCCUUUAAAUCAGCUGUGUGUCUGUUUCAUAGCCCAAUCAGCUGAUCGGCUGUUUCGGGCUUUUUAAAAGUGGACAUGCGCUGGUGCAGUCUCCAUGGAGAGAGGGAAGGAAAUCAUGUGUUUUUUGUGAGUGCAGGGAUAUACGGUGAUGCGAAUAUGUGCAUUUUCCAGCCAGAAUUGGGAUAGUGUUUUUGAUCUGUUGCAGCGAAUCAUGUUUUCUAUUGCACUAUGGCACCCAGUCAUUGAGAGCUGUUAUGUAAUGUUGAUUAUUCUGUAUAGGGAUUGACUAUACUUAUGUAGUGUAUCUCCACAUGCAGAUAUUUACACUUCACUGAAGGUGUGAUCGGACUCGGGCGACCAUCUGCGUUUAGUCAAAUCUGACCUGCAGCGAUGAGUUCCGCAGAUCAGGAAGAGUCACGCUGAGACCAAUUUGACUGUGCAAACAUGCCCAGCAACUGCUUAAAUUGUAUCUUUUGCUUCCUCUCUGUGCCUUUCUAAGCCCUGAACUUUGUAACUAUCUCAAAUAAAAUCUAUUUUGUAUCCCCUAUGGCAUGAGAGCAUGAAUUCCCUCUCGCGGCUCUGCCCUCCCUCCCUUUCUCCCUCGCUGGGCAAGCCACGGAACAACAGGCUACCCCAGCUUCUAUUCCUGGCCAUAUCUCCUUUGUUUUGAAUCCUAGCAUGUUCAUUUUUCAUAUUCUUUUCUAAAAACGCCUCACCGUCAGAAGGAGACCACCCACUCGCAAAUUGACCCGGUCUUUGGGGGCAGAUCAGCUGAUUGUCAAUCUGUCAAAAAAUGUCAAAACGGAGUUCCCUUGCAUUAUGGCGUGGUUUUCUCUGCAAGGGCAGGCUUGCCGAAGUUCGGACUGCAUGCGGGGGCCACCCAGAGCCCCUGCCCCAUCCAUGAACUGCCCCCAUCCCUGGAGUGCCCCCUCCUGCCUGACCUUUUGACCUGGGGGGUUGCUUCACCCAGAGAGCCACAGAUUCGACUCCUGUGGACUUUUAUUUUAUUUCAUGAAUUCCACACCACAAAAGGUUUGGGAAACAAAGGGAAAAUAUUGUUCCUAUGUAUGAAUUAUGUACCCUACCUGUUCCUUUUCUUUAUUCUUGUGAAAAAUGUCUUAUAUUAAAGAAUGACCGAGAGCUGACUUAGGAAUUAAAUUGACAAGUUGCAACAUCCCAGAGGGAGAUAAUUCCUCACACCAGGAAACUGUCAGACACCCAUUUCUUGCAUUGACAAUAGAUUAGGUUUUUUUUCCCAUUAAGACAUCGGAGCAGGGCCAUCUUUUGGGAAAUCAGCUGUCCGGAUUCCGGGACCACUUAACAACAGGGACAAUCCACGAUCACCUCGGCUGUCAACAUGGACAUGACACCUUUCAAAAACAAAUGCAGCCCAUCUGACUCACCACGGCCUGGCAGAGACAAAAAUGUAUACAGUAGAGUCUCACUUAUCCAACAUUCGCUUAUCCAACAUUCUGGAUUAUCCAACACAUUUUUGUAGUCAAUAUUUUCAAUGCAUUGUGAUAUUUUGGUGCUAAAUUCGUAAAUACAGUAAUUACUACAUAGCAUUACUGUGUAAUGAAUUACUUUUUCUGUCAAAUUUGUUGUAUAACAUGAUGUUUUGGUGCUUAAUUUGUAAAAUCAUAACCUAAUUUGAUGUUUAAUAGGCUUUUCCUUAAUCUCUCCUUAUUAUCCAACAUAUUCACUUAUCCAACGUUCUGCCGGCCCAUUUAUGUUGGAUAAGUGAGACUCUACUGUAUUUACACCCCAAGAAGCAGUCUAGAAACCCCUUCUGGACAUUCACUCAAUGACUCAAUCAUAAUUCCUCGUCAAUCCCCGGCAAGUCCAUUGUUCCUAGAUAAGCCUGCCUCCUCAUCCCUGAUUGGUGGGGGACCCCGAGGCAUAGGAGCCCUCUGAUUGGACAAGGGUUCCCGCCGCCAUUUUAAGGACCAAUCGGCACAUAGGAAGGCGGGGAAACGUGCAGCGCGAAAUUCAAUCCGCGCCUCCCAUAUUUUUGUUAUAAAAGUGAUUCAUCUGUAAAUGUAUGUCAUGACUUCUUGGUGAGCGAUUGCAGAUGUCAUCCUUUUUCAGCUGAAACUGAAUAAAACAACUCGGUAUUCUUUCUUCUCGUCUGGAUGGUGAGAAUUUCUGGCUAAAUCUUGAUUUAUAGCGGCUCCCUCCCCUUGCCAAGAUCUUCGGACCUGCGGGGCAAGAAAGGAGCAAGGAUUUCCCCUUAAAAGGAAACCCCUAACCGAAAUCUAGCUCGAUAUCAAAGGAGCAACAUGAGAAACUGCAAGUGGCUUUUGAUGUGAGAGAAUUGGCUGUCUGCAAGGACGAUGCGCAUGGAAUGCCCAAAUGUUGGAUGUUUUACCAUCCUUGUGGGAAGCCUCUCUCAUAUCCCCGCAUGGAGCUGGAACUCAUCUGCGCCCUCUCCAGGUUGUAUUCAAACUGGCAACCUUCAGGUUAGCAACCCACGUUCAAGUCAGCAGUCUGCUGGCACAAGGGUUUACCCAUUGUGCUACCGGGCGCUCCAUAACUGCAUAACAAUCCAUAACUGCACAUCUUCAAAUUUCCUUUUACACCUACUCUUUGAAUUAUAUACCACUGUUAAAAAACUACAGUCAGACUUCCCUGUUUGCAAGUUUGUGUUUUUGAUUAUUUGUGAGCUUGUACUACCACAACUGCCUCCCUAAGUUGGGGCUACCAUGUGGACAUCCUUAUGUUAGGGACUGGCCUUGUUUGUCCAGUGCAUUCAGAGAGGAAGUAAAGGAGAGAAUUCCAAGAGAGCCAUAAAACAAGCCUUUUAUUGUUAUCACAGCUAUGAUAAGGCAAACAGCCGUAGGCACCCACUUUUAAUGGGUCUGUACUAUGCAAAUGGCGGUCGCACCAGCAUGUCACAGCAAACAAAGAAUAUAUACCUUUGGCUUAUCUAAAAUUUACCAAUGGCCGAGGGUUUUCCUCACCUUCCACACCCACUUGGCAUAAGGGAUACUAAUGACCUAACUUGUUUACUCUGAGUUUUCUUCUCUCCUUGGAACUUUUUGGAGAAAGGCACCAGCUCACAGGAAGGGAGGGGCAUAUGCAGAGGCAAAGCCACAUAGGCAAAAGUUUACUAUUUUCUGGCUUAUGGUCCCUUCACUUAGAAGGUGAGGGAUCACUGGUGAACCAUGCCUCGCUCCUGAAGAUGUGGCUGGUGCAUGAACAUUCACAUGGCAGUCCUUUCCUCAGAGGAUGAGUGGGAGGACUGUUCAACUGGUGGAUGCAGCUGAUGUGUGAGGGUUCACAGGACAGCUCCAGCUCCAACUCCAGCUCCAGCUCCAGGUGGUAGAGAAGCCAUAAUUCCCAGCCCUAUCUCUCAAACAUGGGGCUACCAUGUGAAUCAUAUGAACAUUCAUACAGGAGCCCCAUUCUUAAGAGAUUACUGUUUGGGGGCUGAGCACACUGUGUGUUUCCUCAGAAAGCAUGUGUCACUUCACUUGCCCUGCAAAUCUGGCUCCUUUUCCUCUUCCUAUAUGCCACAAGUGCCUGUUUUGCCCAGGCAAAGAAAGGGAAGUACAGUACUAGGGACCCCUUUGCCAGUCAGGUGGAAACCACAGGCCCCUUCUCUGAAUAUAGCAACAGAUAGUUUUAUGACAGUCAAUAUCAGCAUGUCACACAAUAGUACACAGCAGGACUGUGUUCAUGUGUGACUUAACAUUGGGUCUAACAACCAUGGUAAUAUCAAAGUAUCGAUUAACGUAAAUGAUUUUUUCAAGAUAUGCAAUAACUGUAAUAUGAUAUGAGAUUAACACUACACAGUAAUUUAUUGCAUAAAUGAAGGAAAUGCUAGAUUUCAGUUAGAAUAAGUUUUUUAAAAACAAUUUGAAGCUCAUGGAUGCCCUAAAAUCUUUCCAUGAACACCCAAAGGACCAUGUUCUAGAGAUUCCUGUUCUAGAGACAUCUAAUAAAUCCCUUCCAUUUUGUAUUGAUGAGCAUUUUGAAUUUAUUUUACCAGCCUCCACUUUUCCUUUGAUUUACAUUUUGAAUGCCAAGUGUAUAGAUCCUCUGUUUUUCUGUUCACGCAUACUCAGGAAAGAAAUUUGGAGGCAGAUGUAGGCACAGACAGCUAUAGUAUGAUCACCUAGAGAAGAAUCCCGUCAGUUACUCGCUCAAGCUUUAUGACAUAACUUACAACAAACACAUGGCUACAACCUGACACAAAAGUAUUUGUUUUUUCAACUGUCCAGCUCUAAGUGUUGAUGUUGCUAAAAGAUUUACAGAUAGAUAAAGAACAAAAAGAAAAAGUCGAGAGCUAGCUUCAGAUAAAAAGAAUUUGUAAAAUGAGCAUCUUUCUUAAAAGUUUUUAUGGUUUGAUUAUUGGUUUCAUUGGUUUCUUGUCUUGUUUUUCUUGUUUUUAUUGUUCUAUUCGGGCUUGGCCCCAUGUAAGCCGCCCCGAGUCCCUUCGGGGAGAUGGGGCGGGGUAUAAGAAUAAAAUUAUUAUUAUUAUUAUUAUUAUUAUUAUUAUUAUUAUUAUUAUUAUUAUUAAAGUUUGUCCCUAAUUUAA